rnacentral:ncRNA from 1 species
UAAAAUAAUUACAUCUUAUAAAUAGUAAAUAAAACAUUAUAGUAAUUAAUUUUAAAUAAAAUAAUUAUAUAAAGUAUCAUUUCAAUUUAAAAUUAAUUAAUGAAAAUUAGAAUUAAAUAAAGAAUAUAAUAGUAGAGAUAAAUUAGGUGCCAGCAAUAGCGGUUAAACCUAGAUCUAUAAAUUAUUUAUUAUUAACUAAAGUAUAAUUAUCUAUAAAUUAAACAUAAAACAUAUUACGAGUAGUGAAAUACUAUAAAUUAAUAUUAAUUUUUAAUAUAUUAAGAAAAUUAAAUCUAUUAAAUUAAACAUUAAAACCAGGAUUAGAUACCCUGCUAUAUAAACUAAAUAAAUUAGUUAAAUAAUUAAAUGGUAAAACAUUAAAAUUAAAAUAAAUGGCUGUACUUAAAAUAAUUAGAGGAACCUGUUAAUUAAUUUGAUAAUCCACACUUGGACCUACUUAUAUUAAGCUUACGUACUGCCGCUUAAAACAUCACCGUAAUUAUUGAACAGUUAAAUAUAUUUAAUAUAAUAAUACAGGUAAAGUGUAGCAAUAUUUAAGAUUAAAUGGGUUACAAUAAAAUUAAUUUUUAAUUUAUUAUAUAUAAAUAUAGUAAUAAAGAGAAUUUAAAAUUAAAUUUAGUUAAAAAACUAAAUUGAAUUUUAAAUUAAGUAAGUACAAAUCGCCCGUCAUCUCCGAAAAAAACUUUCGGAGAAAGUCGUAACAAAGUUAGUAUACCGGAAGGUGUACUUAGUUA